GUUCAAAUUAAUCAGGUCUUCUGCUUCUUAUCUUCUUUCUAUUGUUUUUAUUCUUAUUUAUUUGUUAUAUAAUGUUAUCGUAUAUAAUAAUGUCACGUAUUCCUUCUCACCAAUUGUAGCAAAUGUUCUAUGCAUGAUGUCUUGGCUUCAGUACUCAUCUGGCUAGUACUCAGCUCACAUGAAAUGACAUUAAGUGUAUGGUUAAAAUGAGCUGAAUGAUGUGGAGCAGCGACGUGAUCAGAAAGCGUUUUUUUUU